rnacentral:tRNA from 1 species
GGCUUUAUAGUCAAUCUAUGAUAUUAGACUGCAAUUCUAAAGUGGGAAUUUUUCCUAAAGCUU